GCGUGCGGGAAGAAGGCCUUCGGGUUGUAAACCGCUUUUGUCAGGGAAGAAAUCCUCUGGGCUAACACCUCGGGGGGAUGACGGUACCUGGAGAAUAAGCACCGGCUAACUACGUGCCAGCAGCCGCGGUAAUACGUAGGGUGCAAGCGUUAAUCGGAAUUACUGGGCGUAAAGCGUGCGCAGGCGGUUGUGCAAGACAGAUGUGAAAUCCCCGGGCUUAACUUGGGAACUGCAUUUGUGACUGCACGACUGGAGUGCGGCAGAGGGGGAUGGAAUUCCGCGUGUAGCAGUGAAAUGCGU
rnacentral:rRNA from 1 species